CCAGCCAAUCGGGCAACCGCUGCCGGCAAUGGACCCGUUCCGUUGCAGGGGGAGGAAAGUCCGGGCUCCACAGGGCAAGACGCCAGGUAACGCCUGGGCGAUGCAAGUCGACGGAAAGUGCCACAGAAAAGAUACCGCCCCGCCAGGGGUAAGGGUGAAAUGGUGCGGUAAGAGCGCACCGCGCUGCUGGCAACAGCAGUGGCAGGGUAAACCCCGUCUGGAGCAAGACCAAAUAGGGAUGCGAUAGUGUGGCCCGCACUGCAUCCGGGUAGGUUGCUUGAGGUGUGUGGUGACGCACAUCCUAGAUGUAUGGUUGCCUUCGACAGAACCCGGCUUACAGAUUGGCUGCUUUU
rnacentral:RNase_P_RNA from 1 species